rnacentral:rRNA from 1 species
CCUACGGGAGCCAGCAUUGGGGAAUUCCUACGGGGGGGCAGCAGUGGGGAAUAUUGGCACAAUGGGCGCAAGCCUGAUCCAACCAUGCCGGUUGAGGGAAGAAGGCCUUAGGGUUGUAAAGUUUUUUCACCGGUGACGAUAAUGACGGUAUCCCCAGAAAGAAGCCCCGGUUAAAUUCUGGCCAGCAGCCCGGGUAAUACGGAGGGGGGAGGGGUUUUUUGGAAUUACUGGGGUUAAAGGGCCACGUAGGCGGUCAUUCAAAUUCGGGGGGAAAAUCCCGGGGUUCAACCUCGGAAUUCCCUUCAAAACUUGAUUUUUUGGGGCCGGAGGGGGGUGGGGGAAUUUCCGGGGUAGGGGGGAAAUUUUUGAUAUUUUGGGAGAACCCCCGGGGGGAAGGGGGCUAUAUGGCCUGGUUAUGCCGUUGAGGUGGGAAAGGUUGGGGGCCAACCCAGGAUUAGAUACCCUGGUAGUCCACCCUUAAACGAUGGGUGCCAGAUGUCGGGCUGCUAGCCUUCGGUGUCGCAGUAACGCGUAAGCCUCCGCCUGGAGUACGCCCAAG